rnacentral:rRNA from 1 species
GACGAACGCUGGCGGCGUGCUUAACACAUGCAAGUCGAACGGAAAGGCCCUGCUUUUGUGGGGUGCUCGAGUGGCGAACGGGUGAGUAACACGUGAGUAACCUGCCCUUGACUUUGGGAUAACUUCAGGAAACUGGGGCUAAUACCGGAUAGGAGCUCCUGCUGCAUGGUGGGGGUUGGAAAGUUUCGGCGGUUGGGGUGGAAUCGCGGCUUUUCAGCUUGUUUGUGGGGUAGUGGCUUACCAAGGCUUUGACGGGUAGCCGGCCUGAGAGGGUGACCGGCCACAUUGGGACUGAGAUACGGCCCAGACUCCUACGGGAGGCAGCAGUGGGGAAUAUUGCACAAUGGGCGGAAGCCUGAUGCAGCAACGCCGCGUGCGGGAUGACGGCCUUCGGGUUGUAAACCGCUUUCGCCUGUGACGAAGCGUGAGUGACGGUAAUGGGUAAAGAAGCACCGGCUAACUACGUG